GGGGACAUGGUCUAGUGGUAUGACGGAUCCUUAGCAUGUCUGAAGCGUGUAUGGAUCAGGUCCGGGGUUCGAUUCCCCGUGUCUCCA
rnacentral:tRNA from 1 species